GUACCUGAAGGAAGAGAAAGAAAUUCGAUUCCGUAAGUAGCGGCGAGCGAACGCGGAUUAGCCCAAACUAAUAAAGUUUUCUUUAUUGGGGUUGCGGACAUAUCAUAACGAAGAGGUAUCGUAAUUGAAGAGGUUUGGAAAGACCCACCACAGAAGGUAAUAGUCCUGUAUGUUAAACGAGAAGACUUUAGAUAUGAUCCAGAGUACCACGGGACACGUGAAACCCUGUGGGAAGCAGGAGGGACCACCCUCCAAGGCUAAAUACUACCUAGUGACCGAUAGCGUAUAGUACCGUGAGGGAAAGGUGAAAAGAACCCCGGGAGGGGAGUGAAAUAGAACCUGAAACCCUGCACUUACAAGCUGUGGAAGCACAUUUCUUGUGUGACCGCGUACUUUUUGUAGAACGGGCCAACGAGUUACGUUAAGUAGCAAGGUUAAGCACUUAAGGUGCGGAGCCGUAGCGAAAGCGAGUUUUAACUGAGCGUUCAGUUACUUGACGUAGACCCGAAACCGGGCGACCUACCCAUGAGCAGGAUGAAGCGAAAGUAAAAUUUCGUGGAGGUCCGAACCCACGAGCGUUGAAAAGCUCGGGGAUGACUUGUGGGUAGCGGUGAAAUUCCAAUCGAGCCCGGAGAUAGCUGGUUCUCCCCGAAAUAGCUUUAGGGCUAGCCUCAAGGUGAGAGAUACGGAGGUAGAGCACUGAAUGUCCUAGGGGGUAUUGCACCUACCGAAGACUAUCAAACUCCGAAUGCCGUCAUCUUAUACUUGGGAGUCAGACUGUGGGUGAUAAGAUUCAUAGUCGAAAGGGCAACAGCCCAGAUCGUCAGCUAAGGUCCCUAAAUGUAAGUUAAGUGGUAAAGGAUGUGGGAUUGCACAGACAACCAGGAUGUUGGCUUAGAAGCAGCCACUCAUUCAAAGAGUGCGUAAUAGCUCACUGGUCGAGUGAUCCUGCGCCGAAGAUUUCCGGGGCUAAAACUUACUACCGAAGCUACGGCAUCAGUAAUGAUGGGUAGGGGAGCUUCCCAUACGGGUUGAAGCAUGACCGUAAGGACAUGUGGACAGUAUGGGAGUGAGAAUGUUGGCAUGAGUAGCGAGAUGUGGGUGGGAAUCCCACAGGCCGUAAACCCAAGGUUUCCAGGGGAAGGUUCGUCCGCCCUGGGUUAGUCGGGACCUAAGCUGAGGCCGAAAGGCGUAGGUGAUGGACAACAGGUUGAUAUUCCUGUACUACCGAUAACCAUUUGAGAGAAGGGAUGACACAGUAGGAUAAGCUAAGCACACUGUUGGUUAUGUGUGCCCAAGCAUUGAGGCAGUCAAAGUAGGCAAAUCCGCUUUGAUAAUGCUGGGAUGUGAUGGGGAGCGAAAUUUAGUAGCGAAGUAGCUGAUUUCACACUGUCAAGAAAAGUCUCUAUCGAGGUUAAAGGUACCCGUACCGCAAACCGACACAGGUGGGUGAGGAGAGUAUCCUAAGGCCAGCGAGAGAACUGUUGUUAAGGAACUCGGCAAAAUGACCCCGUAACUUAGGGAUAAGGGGUGCCACCAUCAGGUGGCCGCAGAGAAUAGGCCCAAGCGACUGUUUACCAAAAACAUAGGUUUCUGCUAAGUCGCAAGACGAUGUAUAGGAGCUGACGCCUGCCCGGUGCUGGAAGGUUAAGGGGAUCUGUUAGAGCAAUCGAAGCAGUGAACUUAAGCCCCAGUAAACGGCGGCCGUAACUAUAACGGUCCUAAGGUAGCGAAAUUCCUUGUCGGGUAAGUUCCGACCCGCACGAAAGGCGUAACGAUUUGGGCACUGUCUCAACAACAGACUCGGUGAAAUGGUAAUUCCGGUGAAGAUGCCGGAUACCUGCGACAGGACGGAAAGACCCCAUGGAGCUUUACUGUAGCUUGACAUUGGGUCUUGGUACUACAUGUACAGGAUAGGUGGGAGGCUUUGAAACCAGGACGCCAGUUUUGGC
rnacentral:rRNA from 1 species